rnacentral:lncRNA from 1 species
AAGUCUCACAAGGCCCCCUGAGUCUCUCUGACACCGUAUUUGCUUUUUCCCAUAGCCCUGUUGGACAAAGGAUUAUAACAUAAUUCUUACCAUCCUGCUGCCUCCCAGGGUUUCACAAUUUUCAUAUUUCCAAUCUGGGUUCUACAGAAAACAAGCCUGGAACAGAGCAGAUGGCACAGAAUUUCUAUGGAUAUUUAUCACAUCAUUGAGAGAAUUCAUUGCCUUGGUGUGUGGCUUAAUACCUUACUGAUGUUUUAGAUUGUGUCUCCAUGUUUACCUUAAAAUAUUGUUGUCAUUGUCUCACUGGUGUUCACUUUAUUCUCACCAACUUUUACUUUUCCACAGGAGCUUUGUGAGACCAGGCAAAAGUGAUCCAAGAGUUGGUCAUGUGUGAAUGAGAAGAGUAGCUCAAUAAAGGAGUAGGAUCAUCCUAAAUAAUUUCUCA